GUCUAAAUAUUCUCAAUAAUUGUAACUUAAAAAGAUUUCAUGGGAAUGAAAUUUUAAAACUUAAUUCAAAAUAUGGUACCUAUAUUAAUUAGGGAUUUAACUAAACAACAUGGGAUAUUUUACCCAGCGCACUCUCGGAAAGGAUGUCACAGAGGAAACGCAGCCUAAGAAUUCACCCUGACUGCGAUCACAGCUCACAAGGUGCCAUGAAACCCGUACUGCGAGCACAGCUGGGCGGCAGCAAAUGAUUCUCUGGACUUCCUUGGUAAUCGAAAUUUCAUUGGUGACGACGACAUGGACAAAAAUUCCAAACACCGUACAGAGCCCCCCCCCAUCCUUUUACCGACAUUGACGACGAUGUCUACUGUUAUUUUGAGAUUAGAAAGUGAAACCAUUUUCACGACGUUGGCGAUCAGUUGAUCACGCAUCCGGGAAUCAGGAUAGCAUGUCACGUGUUUGAUGAGAGUCCUGAAUGACAGUCUGUUUCGUCAUCCUGAAGAAUUUCUUAUGGGAAUCUCACUGCAACUGCUUAUUCUGAUGCUUUCCACCAUUCUCUCUCUCUCUCUCUCUCUCUCUCUCUCUCUAAUAAUUCUUCGUUUAUUUUUUUGGGUAAGUUUUGGUUUUUUAAUGAGCAGUAAACUGUUAGGUGAUGCGAGCAUUGGUGGGUCUAGAAGAAGGGAUUUAAAUCUUUAAUAGCAGCAGUUGUGAACGAAUCAAGGAGCUCGCAUUUUCGGAAGAGUUCCCAAAACAUGAAUAGAAGGCUGUGACUGGAGUGAAAUACAUUUGCAGCACCUACCUGUCAUAUUCGUGAACAAGUGGGGUCUUCAGAGGACCAAGCAGGUUGCACAUUUUGUGUGGCAUGUGUAAGAUUCAUGGGAUGAAAAAUACCUUUCAUGAUAACUGCUGGCUGCCAGCGACGGUUUAUGGGUGGGAACAAUAAAAUUCUAGUGUCGUGGAGGCAUCUAAUCUUCCAAGAUGCAAUGAUUGUGCCACUGCAUUCUGUUCUCAACUCCUUGUCUCCAACAUGAUGAACAAAGCAACUGAGCUUCAAAGCCAGUCGGCUUUGAACAUAUGCUUCUAUCCAUCGCAUUUCCUGCCAUUGGCACUUAACAGCACGAUGACAUUGUUUUUGAUUAGGAGAUAGGCAUUAAUGCUUGGGAAUUACUUUCCAUGUGUCAAUGCCACUUGAUUUUCAAUAUAUGGCACUUCCAAGAGCAUAAAAAGAAUUUCUGGAAGAGCAUGAACAAAAAAAUGUUUGCUUAGAAAAUAUAAGGAUAAUUUUGCUGCACCUCUUGUAAACCAAAUGCGAUUCACUGCUAUAUUCUUUCUUCUAUUCUUCAUCUUUCAUUCUGUUUGACGGGCCCUUGCCCAGUGCACUGAUUCAUAGUUAAUAAAUUCUUUUCAGUCCUUUGAACUAA